rnacentral:tRNA from 1 species
GGUCCCGUAGCUCAGCCGGUAGAGCACCUGACUUUUAAUCAGGAUGUCACGCGUUCGAACCGCGUCGGGAUCA